rnacentral:tRNA from 1 species
CGGGGCCGUAGCGCAGAGGUCGACGCGCGCGGUCUCCAACAUCGCGAGGACGCCGGUUCGACUCCGGCCGGCUCCGCCCA